GUAGGUCCACAUGCAUGAUCCCACCUCAAUUGGAAAAAAUAUGAUAUCUUGUUCAAUUAAAAUCAAACAGUUGAGGCCAACAUAAGGUCCACAUCCAUGAUCCCACUUCAUUAUUAGUCUGGUAGGAUUAAUGUCCUCUGUUCAUUCAUCAAGUCUUGAAUCUUUUGUUUGGAGAUGAAGGUGGGAGAGGAUUGGGAGUUGAUUAUGUUUUCAUGUUGAUACAAAAACUUUUGCCUUCGUCACAUUAUUGCAAUAGCAAUGAUAGAAGGAGUUAUUUGGUUUGAGAAAAAUAUAGAAAUUGAAUAGCAAUGAUAGAGUCUCACAACAUCAUCAACCUAGAUUUACUGUCUCAUGUACUUCAAACAAGAUUAGCUCUAUAGAAUAUAUAUAUUUACAUUUAUAAUGCAUAUUGAAUAAACAAAUUUUAAUUAUUGUUUAUUUGAAAAAAAUGUUUGUUUUAUCGUAGCACCAACGUGAAUAUUAAGAUGAGUAAGAGUUUUUUUUUUUAAUUUCUCAAAAGAAAAUAAAUAAAGGACUCUAUUAUUAAUUUUUUUAUUUUAAAGAAUUUAGUGUUGAAAUUAUACACAUUAAAUACAUAUAAAAGAAUUACUUCUGGUUCGAAUCUACAUUUCAAUGUAUCAAAUAUUCUCCCAAUAUAUAUUUAAUUCAUGUCUUACUUUCUAAAAUAUUGGUCUAUAUACACUAAACUUUAGUAAUUGAGCUCUCCACUUUGUUUAAAAAUGGAGGGGUAAAGAUCUAUGAUAUAUAUUAGUCUUUCAGUCCUAUAAUAAUUAACCAACUUGUAAAAUUACGUGUCCUCAAUAAUUAUCACUUUCAAUUUUUAAAAUAAUAUUUAUUAUAUUUUUUAAUUAUAAUAUCUGAUUAAUAUUAUACACAUUACUCUAAAUUAUAAUUUUCAAAUGAUACCUUUUAAUUACUAUUGUAAUUAUAUAUUUUUAUUAAUUUCAACAAAAUGGUCAAAUAGUUUAAGAUUGUUAGAACGAGUGGGUG
rnacentral:lncRNA from 1 species